UAGGCUUGUAGCUCAGGUGGUUAGAGCGCACCCCUGAUAAGGGUGAGGUCGGUGGUUCAAGUCCACUCAGGCCUAA
rnacentral:tRNA from 1 species